AGAAAAAGGACGGUACCCCAUGAAUAAGUCCCGGCUAACUACGUGCCAGCAGCCGCGGUAAAACGUAGGGGACAAGCGUUAUCCGGAUUCACUGGGCGUAAAGAGCGUUGAGGCGGUUCCGUAAGUUGGGCGUGAAAGCUCCGGGCUUAACCCGGAGAUGUCGUUCAAUACUGCGGGGCUUGAGGACAGCAGAGGAAGGUGGAAUUCCCGGUGUAGUGGUGAAAUGCGUAGAUAUCGGGAGGAACACCCGUGGCGAAGGCGGCCUUCUGGGCUGUUCCUGACGCUGAAGGCGAAAGCUAGGGGAGCGAACGGGAUUAGAUACCCCGGUAGUCCUAGCUGUAAACGAUGGAUGCUGGGUGUGGGGGGUGUAAAUUCCCUCUGUGCCGAAGCAAACGCGUUAAGCAUCCCGCCUGGGGACUACGGCCGCAAGGCUAAAACUCAAACGAAUUGACGGGGGCCCGCACAAGCAGCGGAGCGUGUGGUUUAAUUCGAUGCUACACGAAGAACCUUACCUGGGUUUGACAUGCACGUGGUAGGGAACCGAAAGGGGACCGACCUUCGGGAGCGUGCACAGGUGCUGCAUGGCUGUCGUCAGCUCGUGCCGUGAGGUGUCGGGUUAAGUCCCGUAACGAGCGCAACCCUUGCCCUUAGUUACAAGUGUCUAAGGGGACUGCCCGGGACAACUGGGAGGAAGGUGGGGAUGACGUCAAGUCAGCAUGGCCUUUAUAUCCAGGGCUACACACACGCUACAAUGGCCAGUGCAAUAGGUAGCCAAGUCGUGAGACGGAGCCAAUCCUUAAAGCUGGUCUCAGUUCGAAUUGCAGUCUGCAACUCGACUGCAUGAAGC
rnacentral:rRNA from 1 species